ensembl:lncRNA
CCUUAUCAAGUUGUAUUGCAUCGUUGAUGCCACCUUGAAAGAACAGAGCAUCCCCACCUGAAUUCACAACGCACCAAACACACUGCUGCACAGAGCAGGAGGAAGGAGGGAAAGGAGAUGGGCGAAAAGAGAAACAUCAGAAAACCUGGCACCUGUAGAUGAAAAAUCUCCAUCAAAGUUGCUCCUGAGCUCCAGGACCUUUGUGCUUUUAAACCAUUCCUCCUCAAUUUAUUCCACCUCUGAUCCCUGUGUGCCGGUUGCCAAUUUUCCCCGUUGCUCCUCGCCGUGAAGCUGACAAGGAGCACAGCGGAGCUGACACAGUGAGGCACAGUGAUCCUAUGGGAAUGGCUGC